UGAGUAGCACGUAUCCAACCUGCCGUCUACUCUUGGACAGCCUUCUGAAAGGAAGAUUAAUACAAGAUGGCAUCAUGAGUCCACAUGUUCACAUGAUUAAAGGUAUUCCGGUAGACGAUGGGGAUGCGUUCCAUUAGAUAGUAGGCGGGGUAACGGCCCACCUAGUCUUCGAUGGAUAGGGGUUCUGAGAGGAAGGUCCCCCACAUUGGAACUGAGACACGGUCCAA
rnacentral:rRNA from 1 species